rfam:Oidiodendron maius Zn unplaced genomic scaffold scaffold_5, whole genome shotgun sequence.
GGCCGGAUGGCGCAGUGGUCGUGCGCCCGGCAGUCCCAAAAGUCUUUCAACUUGAUUGAAUGUGAGGGUCGCUGGUUCGAGCCCAGCUCUGGCCG